AUGCACGCUGGCGGCGUGCCUAAUACCUGCAAGUCGCGCGCACAGACGAGGAGCUUGCUCCUCUGACGUUAGCGGCGGACGGGUGAGUAACACGUGGAUAACCUACCUAUAAGACUGGGAUAACUUCGGGAAACCGGAGCUAAUACCGGAUAAUAUAUUGAACCGCAUGGUUCAAUAGUGAAAGACGGUUUUGCUGUCACUUAUAGAUGGAUCCGCGCCGCAUUAGCUAGUUGGUAAGGUAACGGCUUACCAAGGCAACGAUGCGUAGCCGACCUGAGAGGGUGAUCGGCCACACUGGAACUGAGACACGGUCCAGACUCCUACGGGAGGCAGCAGUAGGGAAUCUUCCGCAAUGGGCGAAAGCUUGACGGAGCAACGCCGCGUGAGUGGUGAAGGUCUUCGGAUCGUAAAACUCUGUUAUUAGGGAAGAACAAAUGUGUAAGUAACUAUGCACGUCUUGACGGUACCUAAUCAGAAAGCCACGGCUAACUACGUG
rnacentral:rRNA from 1 species